UCCCCUUAAAUUUAUGAAUAAGGAAAAUAACAAUUCAGGGCAAUGCCUGAAUCCUCACUGCUAAUGUGAGACAAAUUCUUGAGCAGGUAAAGGUGACCCGUCUACUUUGCAAGAUACCUGGGAGUCGCCAUCUGCCCG
rnacentral:snRNA from 1 species